UGGGACAUUAACAGCAUCCCCCUAGAGACCUGUUAGAGAGGAAACCUGGUCCUGCAAACUCUAAGAGACCCACGAAGGAAGGACUGAUCUACCUCUACUUGUAAAAUGCCCAUGUCUUACUCUCAAGAAACACAAGGUAAAAAUGGAAGCAGCUGAUUGCAAUUACUUAGAGCAGAUGAUUCCACUUUGUAAAAUAUUGCUUUUGUUCUAGCCACGGAAUAUUGCAUGUAUACAUUAUAAUUUCUAUUCUUUUCUCGGUUCUGAUUGCCUGAAAUGCAUUAUAUGUCCUACAACAAUUUUGCACUCAUGGAAAUGAAAUAGUACUUCAUCUCUGC